rnacentral:SRP_RNA from 1 species
AUAUAAUGUUUAGGUGCUCUUAGGCAGCUUGCGGUUUGUAGGGGGUCCUGCGCAAUGGGAUACUGUGAACCAUGUCAGGUCCGAGAGGAAGCAGCAUUAAGCGGGACAUCUCAUGUGCCGCAGAUUCGCCUCCUACCGAUCGCAAGGUGUCUAAGAGCUCGAUUAAUAUAU